CAGUGGGCAAUUGCCUGCUCCAACAGGCCUAAGAUAUCUCAAUCUCAGCUGAUUCAUCUGGAGUUGAAUCGAACUCUACGUCGACUUUCUUGGGAUGGCGGACACCUACCGGAGACCGUGGGUACUCAGUAGCUGUCCCGUCAGGAGGCUGGCCGGUGAAGGGUAAUACAGUACGUGUACAGUACGUUUCAUAUAUAUACUGUACUAAUCACGAAUAACGAGCAUUUGGCUGUAUUCACCACAUUGGCAUUCCCCUGCUACGAGCCCGAAUGAAACUACAGCAAAAAGAAUUUUUGCAAUCGACUCAUCCGUCGAUCUGUAUGUAGAUGGGACGUUGGUAAAAUGGAGACGACGGGCCCAAAAAUGCCAAAAGAAACAAAAGGAAAGGAAAAAGAAAAAGAAAACCACAUUGUGUUCAUAAAACGGCUUGAUUGUUCAGUAUCGACAUGCGCCAGCCCAUGAGAAUUAGAUCCAUCCGCCAGUCCCUCGAAUACAAUUACACCCGCAAGCCCGAAGAAAUAAAAUAUAACAGAAAUUAGAAGGAGGGAAACAAGGAAGCUUUUCUCUGGUAAUCUUGCGCAUAGCUAAGUGGGUUUUGAAGAUGGAACGCAGGCACGAGUAAGUUGCAGGAGAAAGGAGAAAGCGGACGUAAAGACGUAAUUGAGAUAAAAAUCGAGAGCAAAACGCAAAUACUCAUUCUCCGUAAAUCAAUUCAUUUCUGCGCCCCCGAUGUAAACGUGGCCUUCCCUUGGCACAUGAGAAAUCCUAACCAUAGAUAUAUAUGCUUUGAAAUUAGAGCGGU
rnacentral:sRNA from 1 species